rnacentral:rRNA from 1 species
GGAUCGGUAGUUGGUUUGAGAGGAUGAUCACCCACCCUGGGAUUGAGACACGGCCCAGAUUCUUACGGGAGGCAGCAGUGGGGAAUAUUGACCAAUGGGCGCAAGCCUGAUCCAGCCAUGCCGCGUGUGUGAAGAAGCCCUUCGGGUUGUAAAGCACUUUUAUCAGGAGCGAAAUACCACGGGUUAAUACCCUAUGGGGCUGACGGUACCUGAGGAAUAAGCACCGGCUAACUUCGUGCCAGCAGCCGCGGUAAUACGAAGGGUGCAAGCGUUAAUCGGAAUUACUGGGCGUAAAGGGUGCGUAGGCGGUUGUUUAAGUCUGUCGUGAAAUCCCCGGGCUCAACCUGGGAAUGGCGAUGGAUACUGGGCAGCUAGAGUGUGUCAGAGGAUGGUGGAAUUCCCGGUGUAGCGGUGAAAUGCGUAGAGAUCGGGAGGAACAUCAGUGGCGAAGGCGGCCAUCUGGGACAACACUCACGC